rnacentral:rRNA from 1 species
GACGAACGCUGGCGGCGUGCUUAACACAUGCAAGUUGAGCGACGAACCAGGGCUUGCCCUGGGGCAGAGCCGCGAACGGGUGAGUAACACGUGGGUAACGUGCCCCGCUGACCGGGACAGCCCGAGGAAAAUCGUGCUAACACCGGAUGUUGACCUCUCACAUCAGCGAGUUGUCGAACGUUAUCUUCGGCUUCCGCCUGGGGGGCGUCCCGCGGUCCAUUAGCUUGUUGGUGAGGUAACGGCUUACCAAGGCUUCGAUGGGUAGCUGGUCUGAGAGGACGAUCAGCCACACUGGGACUGAGACACGGCCCAGACUCCUACGGGAGGCAGCAGUGGGGAAUCUUGCGCAAUGCGCGAAAGCGUGACGCAGCAACGCCGCGUGGGGGAAGACGGCCUUCGGGUUGUAAACCCCUUUCAGGAGGGACGAAGGUCACACGGUUAAUAGCCGGCGUGACUGACGGUACCUCCAGAAGAAGCCCCGGCUAACUACGUGCCAGCAGCCGCGGUAA